rnacentral:rRNA from 1 species
GCAAGUCGUGCGGACCCUAGGGAAAGCUUGCUUUCCCGAAAGGUUAGCGGCAGACGGGUGAGUAACACGUAGGUAAUCUGCCCUUGAGUGGGGAACAACCCGGGGAAACCCGGGCUAAUACCGCAUAACAUCGCGGGCCCUUCGGGACCUGCGAUCAAAGCUGGGGAUCUUCGGACCUAGCGCUCGAGGAGGAGCCUGCGCCCGAUUAGCUUGUUGGUGGGGUAACGGCCUACCAAGGCUCCGAUCGGUAGCCGGCCUGAGAGGGUGAACGGCCACACUGGGACUGAGACACGGCCCAGACUCCAACGGGAGGCAGCAGUGAGGAAUCAUGCGCAAUGGGGGCAACCCUGACGCUGCGACGCCGCGUGGACGAUGAAGGCUUUCGAGUCGUAAAGUCCUGUCGAGAGGGAAGAAAGUUUUCACGGUUAAUACCCGUGGAGAUUGACGGUACCUCUGGAGGAAGCCCCGGCUAACUCCGUGCCAGCAGCCGCGGUAACACGGAGGGGGCAAGCGUUGUUCGGAAUUACUGGGCGCAAAGAGCGCGUAGGCGGGAAUGUAAGUCGGGUGUGAAAGCCCUCGGCUCAACCGAGGAACUGCAUUCGAUACUGCAUUUCUUGAGUUCGGUAGGGGAUAGUGGAAUUCCUGGUGUAGCGGUGGAAUGCGUAGAUAUCAGGAGGAACACCGAUGGCGAAGGCGACUAUCUGGGCCGACACUGACGCUGAGGCGCGAAAGCUAGGGGAGCAAACAGGAUUAGAUACCCUGGUAGUCCUAGCCGUAAACGAUGGGUACUUGGUGUCGCGGGUCUCUACCCCCGCGGUGCCGGAGCUAACGCAUUAAGUACCCCGCCUGGGG